UAGUAUGGACAGUGGCAGUAUCGUAGCCAAUGAGGUUUAUCCGAGGCGCGAUUAUUGCUAAUUGAAAACUUUUGUGGGUUUUUAAAAAUCUGUUUUGAGCUAAAAUUGAUAAGCACUGUUUGAAUAAUGUACAACAAAUUGCUUUG